rnacentral:miRNA from 1 species
GAGUGUUUGGGUGAGUGUUGUGGUGCUCAGUAUGUGCAAAUACAAGAACACACACACACACACACACACACACACACACACACACACACAC